GAGACUCUGUGCGCGUGCAUAUCAAUAAGCGGAGGAAAAGAAACUAACUAGGAUUCCCCUAGUAACGGCGAGUGAAGCGGGGAAGAGCUCAAAUUUGAAAUCUUAAAGGGUUCUACCUUGACGAAUUGUAGUUUAAAGAAGUGUUUUCUGUUGGAGUUUUGGUAAAAGUUCUUUGGAAUAGGACAUCAUAGAGGGUGAGAAUCCCGUAUUUGACCAUUAUUUCCAGCUGUGUGAUACACUUUCAAAGAGUCGGAUUGUUUGGGAAUGCAGUCCAAAAUGGGUGGUAAAUUUCAUCUAAAGCUAAAUAUUGGCGAGAGACCGAUAGCGAACAAGUACCGUGAGGGAAAGAUGAAAAGAACUUUGAAAAGAGAGUUAAACAGUACGUGAAAUUGUCGAAAGGGAAGCGUUUGACACCAGUGUUGUUUAGUUGAAAAUCAAUUCAAUAGUUUUUGAUUCUAAGUAGUAUUGACUUCAUCAGCUUGCUGCUUUCUUCUCAGAAAUUAUUGAAUGCACUUUUCAGUUAACAAGUCAACAUCAAUUUCUUUUGUUGUAAAAGGGUAAGAGGAAGGUGGCUUGCGCUUCGGCUCAAGUGUUUAUAGCCUUUUAUCUCUGCAAUCGGAGAGAUUGAGGUCUGCAGCGUAGAUCCUUCGGGGUUAGAUACAUUGGUGCUAAGCUAUAGCCUUGUAUAGACAACUUGUUGACUAUGCUCAGUCAUGUAGCUUACUCGCUGAUGCUAUUUUACCUACGCUUAGGAUGUUGACAGCAGUAUAGACUGU
rnacentral:rRNA from 1 species